GGAAGAGACAGAGAGGAAGCAACAGUAGGGAGUGAGGCGCAGUGGGACUCUUCCCCCAAUUGCCCUGAGCUUGGGGGUUUGGGGACGACAGUGAGCCCCCCGAAAGAGCGGCAGCGGGUACAGAAUUAUCAGGCUAAAUCCAGCCGUGGAUGGUGGCGAGGAGGAAGAGCAAGUGAGGAACAGGCUCAACGGUUCAUCGGGCAGACGCGUGUAAAGAUCGGCAUUGGCAGACAAUCUGAGAUUUCAUGAUGGAGAAGAGCCCCCCGUCCUCCGGAGAAAGACGAUAAGGUGACCACCGUGGGAGAUUUUCGAGUGGAACAGGACAAACAGCUUUAAACAGCUUUUAGCCCAAAGGCACCCUUUACAGCCAAACCAUUCUUCUCUUCACAUUGAAAGACAGAAAAAAGAGGGGAAGAACACAGCAACUGCACAGGGGAUCCCCUUUGCAGGUUUUCUUUAGGUAACAGCGCCGGAGAUGGCCCGGAUUUACGUGAAACCGUUUCGGCC